rnacentral:rRNA from 1 species
AGUCAAUAGAUACCCAGGUAGUCCACGCCGUAAACGAUGUCGACUUGGAGGUUGUGCCCUUGAGGCGUGGCUUCCGGAGCUAAACGCGUUAAGUCGACCGCCUGGGGAGUACGGCCGCAAGGUUAAAACUCAAAUGAAUUGACGGGGGCCCGCACAAGCGGUGGAGCAUGUGGUUUAAUUCGAUGCAACGCGAAGAACCUUACCUACUCUUGACAUCCAGAGAACUUAGCAGAGAUGCUUUGGUGCCUUCGGGAACUCUGAGACAGGUGCUGCAUGGCUGCCGUCAGCUCGUGUUGUGAAAUGUUGGGUUAAGUCCCGCAACGAGCGCAACCCUUAUCCUUUGUUGCCAGCGGUUAGGCCGGGAACUCAAAGGAGACUGCCAGUGAUAAACCUGGAGGAAGGUGGGGAUGACGUCAAGUCAUCAUGGCCCUUACGAGUAGGGCUACACACGUGCUACAAUGGCGCAUACAAAGAGAAGCGACCUCGCGAGAGCAAGCGGACCUCAUAAAGUGCGUCGUAGUCCGGAUUGGA